AUUGAACGCUGGCGGCAGGCCUAACACAUGCAAGUCGAACGAGAACGGAUAUAGCUUGCUAUAAUUGUCAGCUAAGUGGCGCACGGGUGAGUAAUGUAUAGGUAAUAUGCCUCUUACUAAGGGAUAACAAAUGGAAACGUUUGCUAAUACCUUAUACUCCUUAUUAACAGAAGUUAAUAAGGGAAAGAUUUAUUGGUAAGAGAUUAGCCUGUAUUGUAUCAGUUAGUUGGUGGGGUAAUGGCUUACCAAGACUAUGACACAUAACUGGUUUGAGAGGAUGAUCAGUCACACUGGAACUGAGACACGGUCCAGACUCCUACGGGAGGCAGCAGUGGGGAAUAUUGCACAAUGGACGAAAGUCUGAUGCAGCAACGCCGCGUGGAGGAUGACACAUUUCGGUGCGUAAACUCCUUUUAUAUGAGAAGAUAAUGACGGUAUUAUAUGAAUAAGCACCGGCUAACUCCGUGCCAGCCGCCGCAGUAA
rnacentral:rRNA from 1 species